rfam:Nicotiana attenuata strain TT scaffold10886, whole genome shotgun sequence.
GGAUGCGAUCAUACCGGCACUAACGCACCGGAUCCCAUCAGAACUCCGAAGUCAAGCGUGCUUGGGCGAGAGUAGUACUAGGAUGGGUGACCCCCUAGAAAGUCCUCGUGUUGCAUCCC